UCGCGGUUACACCCCUGCUUUUUUGAAUUCCUACGGUUUUGUUAGAGUGCAAAAUAAAAUAGCUCUUUGCAGGCUUUUUGAGUGGUUAAAUGCUAAGAAAGGUGUUGGAGUGAAUAGGGGCUAUGAUGUUUCUUACUUGGGUACGGUCAAAAACCGGGAUUUGAUACUCCGUUAUUCGUGAGGUAAAAAUGAAUUACCAGGUGACUAAAAGUUGAUUCUUAAAAGUUAAAUGAAUAGGCGGUCUUUAAUAAACAAACAGGGGAAUCUGGGGGUUAAAAGAUGGUCCACUUAAAUUGAUCCUUAGCUUAAAUUAUGCGUGUGUAUGGUUGUUCAUUUGAUCGAUAUAUGUAAAGUAUUGGUGCAGCUCUUUUGAUAAGGAAAAAUUCAGAUUGACAUGUAGCUAUGCUAAGGCUACUCUGGGUGACAAUUGAAAUUUCCAGGUCGGAAGUUCAUAAGAAAUUUUGAGCUUGAAGGUGUACUUGUAAGUAAGGGUUUCUUAUGUUGUGAUCCUGAAAUGAUAAGUAGAGGAGUACUAAUCGCCCGUCGCUCGCGGAGGUAUUCUGAGAUAAGUCGUAC
rnacentral:rRNA from 1 species